GGCAGACUGCUCAGUAACACGUAGCUAACCUACCCUCGUGACGGGGAUAACCCCGGCAAACUGGGGCUAAUACCCGAUAGGUGUGGAUUCCUGGAAUGGUGCCAUGCCUAAACGUAAGCGCAUCCAUGUUUGUGUGCACGCCCGAGGAUGGGGCUGCGGCCGAUCAGGCAGUUGGUGAGGUAACGGCUCACCAAACCUUUGACCGGUACGGGCCGUGAGAGCGGUAGCCCGGAUAUGGGCACUGAGACAAGGGCCCAGGCCCUACGGGGCGCAGCAGGCGCGAAACCUCCACAAUUCACGAAAGUGAGAUGGGGUUACCUCGAGUGCCGCCUGAAGAAGGCGGCUUUUCCAUGGUGUAAUGAUCCGUGGGAAUAAGGGGGGGGCAAGACUGGUGUCAGCCGCCGCGGUAACACCAGCCCCCCGAGUGGUGGGGAUGAUUAUUUGGCCUAAAGCGUCCGUAGCCGGCCAUGUAAAUCUCUCGUUAAAUCCAGCGUCCCAAGCGUUGGGCUGCGA
rnacentral:rRNA from 1 species